rnacentral:rRNA from 1 species
AUUGAACUCUGGCGGCAGGCCUAACACAUGCAAGUCGAGCGAGCGGCGGACGGGUGAGUACUGUCUGGGAAACUGCCUGAUGGAGGGGGAUAACUACUGUAAACGGUAGCUAAUACCGCAUACCAUCAGAUGUGCCCAGAUGGUAGUAGCUAGUAGUUGGGGUAACGGCUCACCUAGGCGACGAUCCCUAGCUGGUCUGAGAGGAGUAACAGCCACUCUGGAACUGAGACACGGUCCAUCCUCCUACGGUAGGCAGCAGUGGGGAAUAUUGCACAAUGGGCGCAAGCCUGAUGCAGCCAUGCCGCGUGUGUGAAGAAGGCCUUAGGGUUGUAAAGCACUUUCAGCGGGGAGGCGUUACCCGCAGAAGAAGCACCGGCUAACUCCGUGCCAGCAGCCGCGGUAAUUC